UACGUAGGGUGCGAGCGUUGUCCGGAAUUAUUGGGCGUAAAGAGCUCGUAGGCGGCUUGUCGCGUCGGAUGUGAAAGCCCGGGGCUUAACUCCGGGUCUGCAUUCGAUACGGGCAGGCUAGAGUUCGGUAGGGGGAGAUCGGAAUUCCUGGUGUAGCGGUGAAAUGCGCAGAUAUCAGGAGGAACACCGGUGGCGAAGGCGGAUCUCUGGGCCGAUACUGACGCUGAGGAGCGAAAGCGUGGGGGAGCGAACAGG
rnacentral:rRNA from 1 species